CCCCGAGUGCACAAAAUAGAAAGGGUGUCUCUUUUCAGGCCCUGUGAAUGACAGGCAUGAAGAGACAGGCAGGCCCGGGAAAUAAAGACAAGCCGGUGAAAUGUACAACUCUCCAAAAGUCCUCCUCGUAGGACAAACCGCAACGCUCUUUUUGUGGUGUGGUGUGAAAAGCUCUCCUCUUAGGACCCCCUUUUCAUUCAGGAAUUCUCAAGAGAGGGCUGUCCCAUAAAGGGGGGAAACCAAGUUUACCACCCACCCCCCUGUGGCUUCUUUUUUGGGUGUCACUAGAUUCCCCAGCCCAGCUGGGAAGAGUACAUUUCCUGCCAAACUUGUCAUCCAGCCAAACAAAAGAGGAAAAGAAGAAGAGCAGGCUUAAAGAAAAAGGAACUUAAAAUUUCAAGCUGAAUUCUGGAAGCCAGCAGAAAUAUAUAGUUCGCAGAAAAAAAUCAAAAUGGUGUGCCAACUCAAGAUGAAGUCUUUUUGGAAACGGUAUAUAAAGAAAAUCUCCUUUAAAGACACUCCUAUCCUCACCGAGGCACAUCAAAUGAAACAGCAUCCAGGAAGUUGGGAGGAAUCGAUUUCAGCACACGGGAAGUUCCUGUCUGAAAAAACGUCGGCAAAAAAUGAGCCACCAGAGAGACAUGCAUAUAUACCCUCAAAAGCUUUCUCUGUUCUGAAAACGUGCACACACUUAUCAAUAGCCUGAAGGAAGUCCUCUUUUAAGUAACCACAAAAAAAAAAAAAGCCAAAAAGGA